rnacentral:rRNA from 1 species
AACGAACGCUGGCGGUAGGCUUAACACAUGCAAGUCGAGCGGGCCCUUCGGGGUCAGCGGCAGACGGGUGAGUAACGCGUGGGAAUCUACCCAUCUCUGCGGAACAACUCCGGGAAACUGGAGCUAAUACCGCAUACGCCCUUUCGGGGAAAGAUUUAUCGGGGAUGGAUGAGCCCGCGUUGGAUUAGCUAGUUGGUGGGGUAAAGGCCUACCAAGGCGACGAUCCAUAGCUGGUCUGAGAGGAUGAUCAGCCACAUUGGGACUGAGACACGGCCCAAACUCCUACGGGAGGCAGCAGUGGGGAAUAUUGGACAAUGGGCGCAAGCCUGAUCCAGCCAUGCCGCGUGAGUGAUGAAGGCCUUAGGGUUGUAAAGCUCUUUCACCGAUGAAGAUAAUGACGGUAGUCGGAGAAGAAGCCCCGGCUAACUUCGUGCCAGCCGCCGCCGUAA